rnacentral:rRNA from 1 species
CCUACGGGAGGCAGCAGUGAGGAAUAUUGGUCAAUGGACGAGAGCCUGAACCAGCCAAGUAGCGUGACGGAUUACUGCCCUACGGGUUGUAAACUUCUUUUAUAGGGGAAUAAAGUGCAGGACGUGUGCAUUUUUGUAUGUACCUUAUGAAUAAGGAUCGGCUAACUCCGUGCCAGCAGCCGCGGUAAUACGGAGGAUCCGAGCGUUAUCCGGAUUUAUUGGGUUUAAAGGGAGCGUAGGUGGUCUGUUAAGUCAGUUGUGAAAGUUUGCGGCUCAACCGUAAAAUGGCAGUUGAUACUGGCAGUCUUGAGUGCAGGAGAGGUAGGCGGAAUUCGUGGUGUAGCGGUGAAAUGCUUAGAUAUCACGAAGAACUCCGAUUGCGAAGGCAGCUUACUGGACUGCCACUGACGCUGAUGCUCGAAAGUGUGGGUAUCAAACAGGAUUAGAUACCCGGGUAGUC